AUGGCGGCGCCGGGCGGGCCGCUGAUGGUCGUGCUCAAGGAGGGUCGGCGGACGUCUCCAUCCUUCAAGGUGCAGGUCCUCGGUGGCGGCGGCAAGGAGUGGAAGGUGACGGACGACAUCGGCGAAACAACGCUCUUCAUUGGGGGGAACGGUUCCUUCUGCGUGUCCACGAGGGAGCACCCGGAGCUCAGGGCCGGCUGCGUCUACUACACCGAGGACGAUCCGGGGCUAUACAAGGAUGCUCGCGACCGCUACUACAAUGGCAUUAAUUGGGGUAUUCACCCUCAAGGAUGGCAGCCGGGAGAAGGUCGAGGGCCUUGCGCUGGUCGCCACCAGUGUGGUUCAUGCCUUCCAUCCCAUUGUGAUGGAUACUGUGACUGA
rnacentral:rRNA from 1 species